rnacentral:rRNA from 1 species
AUGAGCACAGCCGUGGAUGCUUCAGUGCCUGUCGCCGAGCAGGAGGAUGGUACUGCGAAUAUCUUGGGUGGGAAGAAAGUUGCAGUUGUAUUUGUUCUAGGUGGUCCUGGAAGUGGAAAAGGUACACAAUGUAGCAAUAUUGUGGAGCAUUUCGGAUUUACACAUCUUAGUGCUGGAGAGCUGUUGCGCUCAGAAAUCAAGUCUGGUUCUGACAAUGGAACCAUGAUUGACAGCAUUAUAAAGGAAGGGAAAAUUGUUCCAUCUGAGAUAACCGUAAAGCUCCUACAAGAAGCUAUGAUAAAAAGUGAAAAUGACAAAUUCCUCAUUGAUGGAUUUCCAAGGAAUCAAGAAAACCGUCUGUCAUUUGAGAAUGUUAUAAAAAUAUCUCCUGAGUUUGUGCUAUUCUUUGACUGUUCUGAGGAAGAGAUGGUAAGGCGUCUUCUGGGUCGCAAUCAGGGAAGAGCUGACGAUAACAUUGAGACUAUCAGGAAAAGAUUCAGAGUUUUUGAAGAAUCAAGUUUGCCUGUAGUUCAGUACUAUGACUCUAAGGGCAAGGUUAAGAAGAUUAAUGCUGCAAAACCAAUCCCUGAGGUGUUUGAAGAUGUGAAAACCAUUUUUCAGCCAUAUGGCCCAAAGGCCGCAUAG